CGACCAUGCCAGUGGGUUCGAUAAAAAUCAUAAACAUACUGAUGAGCACCAUGGUGUCUUCCAGGUCAGCGCCCUCAAGUGGUGCCAAUACCCUAAAUACUCAGGCCAGAAUCUUUGCCAUAUGCCAUGUUCAGCCUUACACGACCAAAACCUAAAUGAUGAUAUCCAAUGUGCUGUCACAAUUAUAAAAAAACAGGGAUAUACUUCCUGGGGUGUCUGGAAACAACACUGCGCCAAACGAAAUCUUGAAGAAUAUCUAACAUGUCCAGCGACUUGUUAACUUGAUACAAAGUGAAGAAAACACCGAAUGACUGAUGAAAUCUCUUGUGUAUCUUCUAUUUGAAUCACUGAUGUUCAUCUUCUUAAAUUGUCACAAUAAUCAUCAGAAAUAUCUCUUAAUCUACAAAUCAA